UGAAGAACCCCAAACACUAGGAGACUAAAGAAGAAGAAGUUAUGAUCCAAAUCAAGUCUGAAAUUUCUUUCAACUGAUUGCUUUCCCUGCUAGUAACUCAAUAGGCAAUACUACUUCUUUCAAAAAUCUGUGAACAGAAGUGCUAUGAAGAAACAAAUUGGGAGAAAUCUUCAUUCUUCCCUUCUGCAGUCCCAGUGGAAAAUCCACCGUGUUUAUGAGGCCUCAAACUCUGACUUUCUGUCUCAUCAGCCUGGGAGACUGCUGGAGGUUCUGAUCGACGCCUGCCACCUGUGAAUUGCUGCAAUCGUUGGGAGAAUUUCCUGCCUGGGAGUCUGGAAACUGCCAAGAGUGAAAAGCCGCAGCCAGCCAGCGAGGCCUCUGUUGUCAUUGGCCCAAACAACAACAAAAACAGCCACAACCACCACCACCACCACAACAAAACACGCCACGUGUGCACAAGCACACACAAACACGCCCACAGAACCAACCAAACGGACAAGGCUUCAAGGAGAAGCUUCUGGGCUGCGCGUUCCGGCAGCGAGGCCUGUCCCUUGGCACGGGGCCAUGGCAGCCCAGUUCCCAGCCCCCCACCAUCUGUCAUCAGCACUCUGCCUACUGUAAGUGUGCCGACACAGUACACGGAGGCUAACAAGUAGCAAAUGGAGGGGAAGAACAAACAAAGCCACCACAGUCAGCGGGGGUAGGUGGCUAUGGUUUUGACACAAACUGACAGAAAGCCGGGAAAUUUAAACUGAAAGUUUGCCCUGAGGACCUUCAGCUGUGAGGGCUGGGCUGGAGGGGGGAGGGUGUGCGGUCAGGGAGGCUGGCAGUCUGAGAGGCUGAUGCUCCCGACCUAACCAGAGCGGCUCUUCCCAGACCCCGUGAACAGGAGACGCUGUGUAGACUCCAUUCCCACUGUUCGUGGAUUGCCCAAUAAGCCUCUCUCUUACAAGAAAAAGGAAAUUUUUUGUUUCCAAAAAAAAAAAAAAAAUACAAACUUUUUUCUAAUAAAA